GCACUGAUGAAGAGUCCCAUACUAGGACGAAACGGCCGUCCAGUGC
rnacentral:hammerhead_ribozyme from 1 species